UUUUUUUUUUUUUUUUUUUUUUUAAUUAUUUAUUAUUUUUUUGAGCGCUUAACUGUAGGACAAUCCGUAAAAUUUCUCAGUGUUGAAAACUGCUCAGGGAAUUCUAACGCACUCUGCUAGGUCGCCACAUCAGUGUGCCAGGAAUGAAUGGAGAGCAUUUGCAUUUAAGGUGAACAUUUACGACAUUAGGAAAUAUUACUUAGAAAAUUAGUCACGUUGUUUUAAGCUUUGUGUUCUCUUGAACUGAAAGUAGUUGAAGAAGUGAGAGUGUUAUUAUUAAAUGGAAGACUAUAGCGUUCUGGGGUGGAAACUGGCAUGCAUUUAGUUUGUUUUAAUAUUGAAUGAAGAUACGCAGAAGAAAUACAUUUGGUUUAGCAGCACAGAAAAGUCAACCUUUCAUAAAUGGAAAGGCAAUUCUGAAUGAAUAGCUUGGCUAAAACACACUUAAUAUUUUCCAAGUAUCUAUGCACACGUAUAUUCUAUGGCGAAUGACUGUUUAUUUUAGUCUUGUUCAUAUUGAUGUCUUUUUACACUUGUGUCCGCAGACAGAUGACAAUUUCUAUUGCAAACUACCAGAAAACUAAUGAUAACGUUUCUCAGAGUGGUCUCUCUCUUCAAGGAUUUAGUUCUGGUCAGUUUUAUGCUCCUUUGCAGUUGUACUCGCUAAGUUGUUAGGCAACUGUUGCUCUCCACUGGGAAAGGGAUAGAUGAUUCUAGCAGAAGAUCCCCCAGUUCUCCACUGUGUGUGGCCUAAAACAGUUCCUGUCAUAUGAGGAAUUUUGGGGAAACAAAGGGCUCUCCACACCGCACAGAAUGCAUCUCCAAGUUGUCCCUGGGAGAUUUUGUCCUCACCAGGGAGUAUGUUUCUGUCUUAUCUGUCAUGUUGGCUUAUGAGGGUUCCAAUGAUUUAAAUGCUCUUGAAAAUCUGUGUCAAGAAGCUCCUGAACCAGAGACGACAAGAGGUUGAGUGGUGGCAUCCUUUUUGGACUCCCUCACCAGCUCCAGAAGGUGUCGUGAAUACUUGUUUCUUGCUUGUUAUGGGGAUGAAUGGAAGAUGCACUCUACCUCAGCUUACCGAGACCCAGAUAACAUCUCUGACCAGGAGGGCAGUUAUCUGCAGCAAAAAAAGAGACUGUUUAGAUGGAGGAUCACUUGGACUGGGGGAGAUGGAGUGCAGGCACUUCAGAGCUCUGGACAGAUUGCAUCGAUGGGGAGACUGCACACCACCAUGCAAAAAGGAGACCUGGACUCCUGACGUUCUUCAGUCAUGUAUUAGAAAGAACAACAUGUUGCGCUGUGCAGUUGAGCUGAAGACUGAGUGAGGUUUUCCAUGGCUGUAAAGGUAGACAUCCGGAUGCAGCACAGAAUCCUAAAAAGUCAGGGGGUUUGCCGCUACACGCACAUGAAAUAAGGCUGCCAAGAGAGCAAACACAACUUUAGGACUUGAACAGAGAUAAUAGUAUGUGAGUAUAAGAGCCUAAACUGCUGUUGAAAUAUGCAUGUUAAGAAUGAAGUGGUUUUCUUUUCAUUUUAAUGGUAAAUCUCACAUGAAACAACAGCCAAUUUAAUUCGGAGUUAUGGUGCUAUCAUUUUCAGAUUGACUGAGGUAAGGCAAAAAGGUAUUUGAAGAUCACGUUGUGGACCUUGCUAUGUUUAGUUUUUAAGAAGCGGAAUAGAUAAUUUAGUAAGUUUUAUGUAUUCAUUUAUUUUCCUCUUUUCAGAAUAGAAGAGUCUGUGAAAAUGAAAAAGACUUUAUCAUCCACAAAGCGGUAGCGAUCUUUCUUAUCACUAUUGGUUAAAGCUGUGUGAAUUGAUUUUGCAAAUACGGCAUUGAAAAAUGAACAGUUGUUCCUAACAGAUACUCCAUCUCAGCAGGGAAACUAGAGAACACGGUUUUUGUUGAAAAUGAAGUUAGAGUAAUACGUAAGUUGCGUAAAACUCGUGUGCUUUGAAACGUAAUGAUUAUAAAACUAAUUAGUAAUUACUGUUUGUCUUUCAAGAAGAAAGAAAAGGGCUAGGUGCUGUAUGAACACAUGACAUCUGCACAGAUACUAUCGCAGAAUCACAGGCUGAAUGGAUUUUGUAAGAUCAGGGUUCAUCAUGCUGCCCCGAGGCGAGAUUAACUAUCCCUGUCUUAUUCCUGAGAGAUGGUUGUAUAAGUUGUUCUUAAAGGCCUCCAAAGGUGGACACUCCAUUGCUUCCCAGGGCAAUUUAUUCUGGUGCUUUACCACCCUUCCUGUUAGAGAAUUUUUUUCCAUUAUGUUUAAACAUCAGUUUCUGUUAUUGCAAUUUAAACUUUUCAUUUCUUUUCCUCACCACCAAAGACAUUUGAAAGAUUAUUUGCUCCAUCUUGCAACAGCCUUGAACACUGUUAUUUUACUCCUCCCUUCCUCAGCCUGCUUUUUCUUUUUGGCUACGUGACAGCAAUUAAUUCAGGUCUUUCAUGUAGGGCAGCUGUUCUGGGCCUCCGCUCUUCCUCUCUUGUCUUGCUCAGAAGUCUUUUUGGUGCUUCGUCUUUCCUAAAAUGUACCCAAAGCGAGAAGCCAGUUCUUCAGCUGAGGCAUUGCUGGCAGACAAAGGACUCCUGCACACUUGCAUGUUCUCCUCCGGCUUGCACCCCAGUGAGGUGUUUGUAUUUUUCAGAUUACGUGGCUGAUUCACGCUCAGCUGGUGAUCCAUUUCAACUUCCAAGACCUGUUUUGAAAAAGAACAGGUCUAACCCUAGCUCAUCACUCUCUAUUGUGAAUUUGUGUAGUUGGUUAAUCCGGCCUAAGUGCUGUACUUCUGUAUUGCCAAAAGUGACUUAGGGUGCGUUUUACAGCUAGACAGAGGCUUGAGGUAUGGAAGAAAAAACUAGCUUAGACAAGAUCACACAGGGAGCUUGGAGAAGAGCCAGGAAUCUGUUCUGACUGACCUCCAGAGGCCUCAUCUGCAGAGUCUCCUCCCUGGUGUAAGUGCAAAAUCAUUGAGUUGAACACUGAAAUUAUGGCAAACUAAUAUAUUUUCAUUCUGACUCAUUUUCACUCAUUACUGUUUUUAUGGCCUUUACUAAUAAGUGCCAACAAGAUGAAUGUUUGCCGGCCAUCUAUCAGUCUCCUGUGCGUUCGUUCUACGCAUGGCAUUAUCUAUAACUACAUUAAUUAGAUGAGUGAUUAAGAACCGAGUACUGUAUUCUGCUCUCGUUUUCAAAAUGCACCCAUCAUUGUGGUCAUCAACUUCUUCAAAUCUUUCUGUUUUUUUUUCCAGCACAAUAUUUUUAAAACAUUUUUCUGACGUUAUCUGCAAAGUUACAACUGAUACAAGUUAUACCUCCUGUUGAGUUGCGGCCGUCUUGUUCCGGACUACAGCACUGGUCUCAUGACGAAGCCAGGAUGUCACCCUGGAGGCUGCAGCUUGUGGUCUGUGAGACCCUGAGAUUUUGGACCUCCUCCUCCUUCUUUCCUAGGGAGCAUAAGCACAGCAGCUUCACAGGGGAGAACAAGCAUUGGAAAAACAUCAGCUGGAGUCCUCUGAUGCUGCAGUUGAAGAAGAUGUGGACCAGUUGCAAAGAGUCCAAAGAGAAGCACUGAGUAUAAUAAGAGGUCUCAAAUAUGACCAAGGAGAUAAGAAGAGCUAAUCAAGUGGUAUGGUUCCACUUUUACACGAGAAGACUUUGGAUAACACAGGGAUAAUCCUUAAAGACGCAGAAGGCAGGACCGGACUACCUUAACUCCAACAAGCCCUUCUGGUUAAACUGCUAUUUUUUGGGAUGAAUCACACUGAGAACAUUCAACAUAUCAAGAGCAAGGACCAAAUUAUGCUGUGGAUAGGAAGUCAGUUUGACUUGUGUGUGAGCCAAGGAACUCCACAAGUGAAAGGUGCCUGUGGCAAUUGAGGCAUGGACUCCGUUGCUAGUGCAGAACCAAGACCCUUUAUGCUUAGUGCCCUACACGUGCCCCCCUUUUCCCUGUUCCGUGGGCUGGCUGCCAGGAAUUUAAUUGCAGCUCCCUUUCUGGAUUGACCAGGGCUUGAGACAAGGCAAUCCUACAUCCCUCGCCUGUGGGUUCCCUCAGGCCUGAGACACAUGUGCUUGCUGUUUGCCUGCUUGGUUUUCCCUUACGCCUUGGCAUGGUGUCAGCGGCCCGGGCAGCUCUCAGGAAGCUGCAGCGCGUGGCAUUGGCACAGCCACUCCUGCCUCUCCGGGAGAGGGAGUGGGGCAUCUGCCAGCACCUCAAAAGAUCUGCCAUGUCACCUGCUUAGAAGGCCUCUGGAGCGCAACUGAGGGGUUGCUGUGCUGUGUGCAAGCUCUUCAGUGUUCUCUAGGAUGAUCUUCUGAUAUUAAGACUGGAAAAGUGACUGCAGCAUCUCCACAAGGCGAUUCAGGCCUUGAAGCCAAGGUCACUGUCUCGUCUUGGGGCGUUACUGCAAAGCUGCGCUUAAAGCUCCAGGAAGUGCACGCAAACUCAAAUCUGCAUGUGGUUUUGCUUGGAAGGCUUAACGAGAGAUGUUGACCUACGUGUUUCUAGCCUGUUUCUACAACAAGAAAAUACUCUUUUCAUAAAGGAAUGACCUCGAUGAUCAUCCUUCAUGUUCCUAAGUUGCCUUCGCUCCCAGAAGUUGGCCCCGUAUUUCCUUCUGGCCUUUCAAGGCACGUUACAAAUCAUCCUUUACUGCAUCGACUGAUGCAGCCUUUGUGAUUUUUGCUAACGAUUAAACUCCACAAAAUUGAUGCACUGGAUUUUAUGGACGCUGAGUUUCUAAUCACAUUUCCCUGGGGCACCUGAUGCUAACACCCCAGCACACAGUCUCCUCCUGGCCCCAGCUCUCGGCACUGCUGCCAGGGAGAUCGGAGCUUUCCAUCGUGAGUGAGUCUCCCUGUUACCUUGCCUAACUCUUGUGAAAUAUUGAUAAACUAGCAAAGCGUAUUAGAUUCCUGAAGAUUUCCCAUUUCUCAGCAGCACUGGUAGGUGACUCCUUCCUUCCUUCCUGGGCACCGCGUAACCAAAUGUGCUAAAUGGUUUUUCUGUUCGUUGGAAUUCUGCUUUAUUAUGACAAUUAUUUGGAAAUAUGUUUAGCUGACCAGAAACCAUCAGAACUCUUAAUAAUACGUAAUUGAGCUCAGUUAUGUUUGUUGCAUCCUGGUCCAUUUAAUUUUCCAGGAGGUAAGAUAUAUAGAUAUAAAAAUAAUGCGUAUGUGUAGCGUAUCUAUAUAUAGAUACGUAGAUAACUCUGUGUACAUGCACACACACAAUGCAACUUGAUGGAAGAGUUCUCAUAAGAAGUAAUUAAUAUGUGAAAACUACAAUAUAUAAUUACUACCGCCCAGGUAAGAGGUAAUAAAUGUUGCUGAAAUUUACUGGACAAGUCAUUGUGUGCUGUAAUAACCUCCCAGGUACAGUUUUGUGCUGUGAUGACAAGCAGGUAUCAUGUAUGUAACGAAUGCCUGCGCAGGACUUGUCUGUGCCCGUACUGCUGGCUGCUCUCUCUGCCUGAUGAUGAAGUUGCCUAAAGGCAGGAGGGACUGCGGGUGGUUAACACAUGUGCAAUUCAAAGUCAAGCUGUGGGUUGAUCACAGGUGAGGAAUGGGACACGCAAGUAGGAUGAGGCGUAAGCCCCGCUCUCUUUGUGCCUUCCAGUUGAGCCCAGCGUUUUGCAAGCUGCAGCCCCUAAUCCUUACAGAGACUGGAGCUGAGCUAAUGCCACCUUUAGGGUGGUACAUUGCUAAGCCUCCUCACCUGCACCCAGAAACUGAAGAUAAUGCAAAUUGUUUGUUCUCCCUCAGCCUGACCUGAUUAAAGGCUGUGCUUUCGUGUGUUAUUCUGCAGUGAGGAGAAAAAGAAGGUUUGUGCUGGAGUCCAAGUACAGUUUUCUAGCAGUUUUUCAGCAGUUGAAAGAGUGACUGAUUAUAGCUUGUGAGCCCAUUUAAGCAUUGACUCACUUUAAAAAAAAUAAUAAUAAUA